UACGUAGGGUGCAAGCGUUGUCCGGAAUUAUUGGGCGUAAAGAGCUCGUAGGCGGUUUGUCGCGUCUGCUGUGAAAACGCGAGGCUCAACCUCGCGCCUGCAGUGGGUACGGGCAGACUGGAGUGCGGUAGGGGAGAUUGGAAUUCCUGGUGUAGCGGUGGAAUGCGCAGAUAUCAGGAGGAACACCGAUGGCGAAGGCAGCUCACUGGCUCGUAACUGACGCUCAUGCACGACAGCGUGGGGAUCAAACAGG
rnacentral:rRNA from 1 species